rnacentral:rRNA from 1 species
GAUGAACGCUGGCGGCGUGCCUAAUACAUGCAAGUCGAGCGAAUGGAUUGAGAGCUUGCUCUUAUGAAGUUAGCGGCGGACGGGUGAGUAACACGUGGGUAACCUGCCCAUAAGACUGGGAUAACUCCGGGAAACCGGGGCUAAUACCGGAUAACAUUUUGAACCGCAUGGUUCGAAAUUGAAAGGCGGAUUCGGCCGUCACUUAUGGAUGGACCCGCGUCGCAUUAGCUAGUUUGGGAGGUAACGGCUCACCAAGGCAACGAUGCGUAGCCGACCUGAGAGGGUGGUCGGCCACACUGGGACUGAGACACGGCCCAGACUCCUACGGGAGGCAGCAGUAGGGAAUCUUCCGCAAUGGACGAAAGUCUGACGGAGCAACGCCGCGUGAGUGAUGAAGGCUUUCGGGUCGUAAAACUCUGUUGUUAGGGAAGAACAAGUGCUAGUUGAAUAAGCUGGCACCUUGACGGUACCUAACCAGAAAGCCACGGCUAACUACGUGCCAGCCGCCGCCGUAA